rnacentral:lncRNA from 1 species
ACCGAGGCGAGCAGCAGCGGCGCCGUCGACAACGGCGGCGACGGCGACGGCGACGGCUACCAGAGAUCGAAGCCGUAUUACCGGAGGUCCGACGCCAUAGCUUACGGGACGCGGUACCAGAAGGCCGCGGCUCUUGUUGAUCUGGUCAGUAUAAUCCUUUCUUACUUCUUGUUUCUAUCGUCUUUAUUUCCGUCGCUAUUUGAUGCAUUCCACGGCUGUCGACUCUGAUUUCUUGGUCUUAGCAUACGUUGUUUUGUUGUUAGUAAUGGUGGAAGUAUAGUAGAUGUAGUAAAAAUACGAUGAUUAGGGUCUUUUUUAAUUGAAUGUGAAGCAUGGAUGUAUGUAUCUUGAAUCGUCUCUUCGUAUCGAUCUUGGAUGCCUUUAUGCAGGAUUAGUGGUAAUCCUGAUGUUCUUGAAAUCAGCAUUAGCUUGACACGUUGUCAUGAUUUUCCAACCACUGGUUAUCUUUUGUUAUUCGUAUCACUACUGUUAUGAUGGUCGCGAUCGAUUCAGUUUUUGAUAAAGAAUGCGUUUGGAUCAGUGCGAUUUGUCAAAAGAGAAAAAGGAAAAAAAAAAAAAGAGAGCAAUUUGUCAGGCAUUGUCGAGAAUUUAAAACUUCUCAGUCAUAGAUGUCUCAGAUCUCGUUAAGCAUCUAUUAUAAUGAGAUGUUAUUGAAGAAGGUGCCAUUCCAAAGUUAGAAAAUAAAGGAAAAAGUGGCAGUUCUUUAUCUGCAUUAGCAGCACUUUAAACCUGAAUCUGUAAUUCCUCACUUCAUGGCUUAUCCUUCUAAUUGCUCCAGCUAUACUUUAAACAUGGAAAUAUUGUGAUGAAUAAGAUCAUAGGUUAUGAAUGGUGCAUUUGUAUUGGAUGAGGAUCCAUGUUCAAACAAAUCGUCAAAUAAAAUAUAUUGAUAAAUCGCAUCUUUUUGGUUCUGUAUUAUCGGAGCUUUAUUGGCGAGAUAUAAACAACAGAUUCCCCAUAUUGCAAGCUUGUCAUUUGACCCAAAUAUAAGCUAAAGAUUCAUCCCUUUUGUUUCUUAUGCUGCCGGUGAUGUGAUGACUGUACCAUAAAAUCAGGAAAAUAAGGUGCAAGUGUGCUUUAUAUCACCUUGAUAUAUGCAAUUCAUAUGUAAUAUAACUUCACACAUGAGCCCUGGGCACUCUGUGCCUUGCUUCAAACAGGAACCCUAACAAAUCUAAACCAUCCGAUUGAAGUCCAUCUAAAAGCACGGUUAACCUAAGCCUAUUGCAAGCAUGGGAUCUUUUGAAAUCAACAUUUAAAUGGGACAUGUCCCACCAAUAAGAAAUAAAUGUUUAGAUAUGUACUAUAGGCAGUGCUAGUCUUAAGGACGUUGGUCAUACUUUUGAUCUCAGUAUGGUGUUUGUUUGACUUUCAAACAGCUCUUGAUGCAUUUAGGUGACUUGAAAGAGAUGUUUAGUGGAACAGGUUUUGAUUUUCAGAUUCACAUCUAGUCAAUCUUUUAUCUGCUGACCAAUGGCAUGUUGUACUGCUGUUAGCUUUCUGUUGUAAUUAUUGCUUUCUUAUGACCUUGUGCCCAUCAAAUGGCAUUAGAUAUGGAGGAUGCUUCUAAGUUUGCCUUUCUUCUGUGCUUUGCUCUCUCUGCUGCUUCUUUUUUAAAUGACAUUGGUUACCAGUCACUAAAAGGGAAUCUGAAAAAGUAUAUAACAACAAACCUAAUGGUCUUGGAAAUAAAACUAAAGCAGCUACCUUGUAUGCACAUAGAACAUGCUUACCAUAUAAUGGGAUAGAUUUGCAAACAAAUAUUAUGAUAAACACACUUUAGAGGAAAGAUAUUUAGCAGAAAUGGCAUUUCCUGCAUAAAUACUGGUAGAUGAUGUUAGUUGUGAGUGCAUUUUCGAUGAAAUCUCACAAGUUCAUAUGGAACUGACUGCUCUGGUAUUAUGUGGAUUGGUGCAUAUUCAAUGACAGAUAAUUUGGAUAAUUGCAUCGGAUGCUUGAGUUUUGUUUCUUUAGUUGCUACCAAGCUGUGUACUUUUCCUAUUUCUGUCGUCUAAUUUACUGAUUCUAGAAAAAAUUGACCAUGCAAUUAUUUUGUGAGAGGCAUGUUUUCUUUCAGAUUGAGCAAAUUGAUUUGUCUUAAAUGGUAGUGGCCGUGAUGUUUUGUUAUCAUUUUGACCAUUCUUACUGGGAAUGCAUUUUCAGGCAGAAGAUGGUAUUGGUCUUCCUGAGGAAGUUCUGAAUGAUAUAACAUUUGAAAGGGCUGCAAAGUUCUACUUUAUAUAUAUUCGCUUCGAUUUGCUGUGGUCACUUAAUCUUUUUGCAUUAAUUCUCCUGAACUUUCUUGAGGUCAGUUGAUGUGUUUCAUCCUUGAUAUCAAUAUUGUCUUUCAUUCAGUGUGAUGAGGCAAUUUAGGUAGAAAAAGAUGAGGAAUUUAGGAUUCUUGUAUGCUUGAUUGGGAAUAAAGGUCUCCUUGUGCUUAUUUGUUUUGUUGUACUUCUUUUUAAAACCUUUUUUGAGAUAAGGUAAUACUAGAUUGUGCGCUUUGCAGAAGCCUUUGUGGUGUACCAGGUAUGGCCAAUAUUCAUGCGAGGAAAGAGACUUUUUUCUCCUUGGGCAAUUGCCUUACUUAACCAGCAUGCAAUCCCUCACUUAUGAGGUGAGUUCUGUGCUCACAAAAUGUAAAAUUGGGGAAAUGAAUUAUAAAUACUCAGUUUUCUGUCGUAUUACUGGCUCUAAUACAUUGGUUCAUAUUGUUAAGGUUGCACUCGUCAAUCUGUGGCACCUACUUUUGUAAAAUUCUUAUACAAUAAUUUUUUUCUUUGAGAGAUCUGGUUUUAUUUCUUUGUGUUUCUUGAAAAACAAAUGAACCUUGGGAGCUUAUUGUAGGCUAUAGUGCUGAUAGAUAUGCUAAAAUACCUAGCAGUUGCAGGUAACUUGUAUUCACUACAAGAAUGCAACAAUUCUUUUUGAAAGUAUGGACAUUAUGUGGCUGGGCAGAAUUGGAAGCAACCAUCUGUCUUCUGAUGGCUAGUGAUAUUUAAGACCAUAAUAAAGUGGUAGUGAUUUAAUGUUAGUCACCAUGUUUCAUUAGCAUGUACUGGCCAACCAUGUUCAUAUAUAUGCAGAAAGAGCUAUGAUUCCUUAAUGCUUAUGGCAAUUUGCACAGUGUAUAUAGCAAAAAUGCUUGAGUUCUCUUCAACACUUGUGCUAGGCUAGAAGGUUGAUUUGUAACUUCUCCUUAAUCAAGGGAUAAAUGAAAAUAAUCAGAAGCCAUCGCUCCCCAGGUUGGUAGUGGGAAGAUCUACAUGUUGAUGAAACUGUCCAAGGUCCUAAGCUGCUGCACUGUAGUAUAAUAACGUAUUGAGUACUGUUGCUGAAGAAAAUUCCUGUAAUUUCUGCAGGGGAUCACACUUUUAAUUCUUGUUCUGCAUACAUUUCUUCCACUAGCAUAUGAAGGUUGCUGUCUCUAUUGGAAGAGCCCUUUGAACAAAUUAAAGGUCCGUAUUGCCACAUUGUUAGAGCUUUUUAAUAAUAUUUUAUGAACUAGCUGCUUGUAAUGAUUUCUCUGGAUGGUCCAUUGAAACCCAAAAACAAAUAUGGCUCUGCUUGCUUUUUAAGAAAUAUAGAUUUGGUUCACGUGUUUUAAGAUUGCAGUCAUAAUGAAUGAUGUGGAUCUUUGAUUUAUAUGGUACAUCAUGAAUUUUGGCACCUUAGCUCUAUUUGUAUUGCCAACUUUUGAUCAUCUGAUGCAUUUGAAAAGAAAGAUCUACACUUCCAGAAAUAAUUUGAUUUUGGUUUCCAAUAAUACGCUCUAAAUACACGAAUGAUUUUUCAAUUUAGAUGGCCCAUCUUCUAUUUUGCUGUGAUAAGGAUGGAGUGCAAAACUUACUCCAUCUACAUUCGUUGUCUUUUACCUCUAUGUUUUUUUGACCCUUAUAAGUAUCGAGAUAUUUGCAACUUAUGUGACAUUACAAUAUCAAAUAUACCUCCUCGUAUGUAGCAUCCAAUAAUUAUAAUCACUUCAUGAUGUAUGUAUUUAUUUACAUAUGAAAUCUCUGUAUUUAUUCUCAAUAAUGUCUUUUUUUUUUCCCUGCAGGUCAUACUUCUCAUAAUCUUAGUUUGUGAUGUGUUGGUCUAUGCUCUUUAUCUAUCUCCAGUGCUUGUUGCUUCUUUACCUUUCAGAGUUGCCCCGUACAUUCGUGUUGUCUUUGUUACUUUGUCAAUCAGGUGAGAAUAUUGGUAGUUUUCUUUAAUUUCUGGAAACCACCAACUCUAUUUAUAAACUAUUGUUUUCUGGAGUAUUACUAGUGGCCUGUGAUUUGAUGUCCAUAAACCAAGACAUGCAAUAAUAAAUUCCUGAACUUUCAAGCAUCUGUAGUCCACCACGAGUGGAAUUCCUUCAAUUAUCCAUGUUCCUGGUUGGAUGUUUUACUGAUUAUAGAAGGUCUAGAAAGAACAAAUCGACCUUUUAUAAUGCCAACAUAAGCAUCACGUAAGCAACCAGACCUGUCUCAUGGAUAGUGACAUAGUCCUAACUCCUAAGAUUGCAGAUAUAAAAUAUUUUUUUGAUUAAUUAAGUGUUCAGGUGGUUGAUUAGACCAAGGAAGAUCACUAUUUUGUUGUUUUAUAUAAAAAGUACUCAAGAGAUCAAGGUCUCCUCCUUUCUGGUUAUAUAGUUCCUUGAUGGGAAUAUUUUCUUUAUCCAGCCUUUGUUGCUUUUGCAUAGGGGGGGUUCCUGCUUAAAGUGUACAUCUCUAUUGUGUUGUCUUGGUCAUUCAUGUUUCAGUAUCAGUCCAGGCUGAAGAAGUUCAGUUUAUCCGUGCACAUAUUCUUUUAGAUACUGAUCAUGUUAAAAUAUAUCUUCAAUUGAAAUCCUAUUUCUACAAAGGAAGAUCAGGAUGAUUUAGAUUGUGGAGUAUAAUUUGACAUGUGUGAUCGACAUAUUAGAACAUGAUUAUAAUUAUGUGAGAUUGAAAUCCAUAGUCUGAUAAUUGCAUGUGGGAACUUGGUAAAAGUGAAUUUUGCGAUGAUCUGCAUGCUAUGCAUGAUGAGACCAGAAUUUUGGUAAUUACUAGAAUAAAAUAUUUGAUGAAGUCGUAGUAGCCAUCUUUUUUAUUGUGUUAUGCUAGGUAAUCAUGCGUUAUUUUUUCGAUCUUAAAUGUUUGGACCGAUUGAUUGAAACCUCUCCAUGUUAAUUUCUGUAAAGAAUCCACCAAUAAGUAGAGAAAAGUAUGUGUAACAGUUUAGAUAAACAUAUAGGGGGUGUGUGUACUGUGCACCAGGUAUCACUCAACAUGCCAAAACAGUAAUGUGGUGCAUUUGGUGAAACCAAAGAUUUUUAUAUCAUACAUCCUUUUUCCUUAUUAAGUCUUGUUGUAUCAUUUGGUUCUUCUUUCUUGUGUCAUUGUAUAUUGCCAAACUGUCAGCAGAAAGUCACUUGAUUGACAUCCAUGUUGGUGAUGUGAUUUAGGUUGUGUCUAUUUCCUCAUGUUAAUGAACUUAUUGAAUUUUUAUGGCAAAGACUGAAAGCUCAUAAUAUUAUUAAGGAAUUUUCAUUUAUUAUAAUUCUUUUAAAGAUGUAAUAUAUUUUAAUCACUGAAAAAGUUUAUUUCUUAAAUUAGGGAAUUGCGUGCAUGUAUGCUCACAUUGACUGGAAUGGCUGGCAUGUAUCUCAAUGUCUUGGUAAGUUUCUAAUUUCAUACUUCUUUGUUCUGUCCCUCAAAAUGUAUGCAAUUAUCCUUUACUUGCUUGCCAUGACUUCUAUCAUAUUCUUAUUCAGUAUGAUCUAGAAUAUUAGCAAGUUAUCAAAGAUUCAAAAUAUUAAUUUUUUUAAGGCUAAACUGAAUAUGAUGCGGCACUUCAUUUCCUCACCUUUGAGGUUUUUCUUAUCUUCUGGGUGCUUGGCUUACUCUUACAAGUGCAGGCUCUUUGGCUAUUGUUCCUUUUAUUCUCCAGCUGGUUAGCGUAUGUGACAUUUGAAGACACCCAACAAGGAAGGACCAUGUUCUAUUCCUAUGGUGCUACAUUGUAUCAAAUGUUUGUUCUUUUCACCACAUCUAACAAUCCAGAUGUAUGGAUUCCUGCUUACAAGUAAGCUGGACUAUUGCAAGUAUUGAAAUGUUUUUUCCUUCAAUUAUUCUUAAAUUGGCAAUUUUUUAUUGCAGUAAGGCAUGGUAAAAGUAAAACUCCCAUCAAGUAUUCAACUGCACAAUGAGCAACAACUUUAAUAUUUCUGUUGCAUGCUAACUAUAUAUUUAUCAUUAAUACAAUACAGUACAUAUUUAAUCAGGGAUUAUUAUGCUGGCCAUAAGUUGAUGUUCUCAUUAUGUGUUGGGAAACAUAUGAAAUACUAGAAACUAGAAAGUCUAGCAUGUGCUAGGUGUAGGCCAUAGGAUGAAACCAUGCUUUACUUAGAAGCUGUAAUUUCCCAAGAACCAUUCAGCCGAAUGAUCAAUGAACUUCUCCAACUUUCAGAAUUUGGCAUAAAGGUUGUUAAAUCAAAUGAAGCCAUUCAUUUGAUGUUCAAAUGAAGCACAUGCAUGGCAGUGUCCCAAGUACCAGCAUGUAGCUAGUACUUCUGUGUCAGUGCCUCGGCCUGGUGAGGCACUGGUAUGCUGUGUAAUGAGCCAUGCUCGCUGUGCUGAUUAGCACUUAUAUCCAUGCUGUAAGUUUUGUUUUGCUAAUAUGCCCAAUCUUACCCAAUUUAGCUUGAUAUUUGAGAGUAGCCUUUAACGGAUAAAGUCAUAGGGGGCCAUCUGCCCAUGUAACUCCUUUGUCCAAUUCAGGGGCUUUGAUGUAACAGGCUUUCUGUUAUACCAUUGCCUAAAAUUAGUGAAUGUUUUUGCCACUGCUAGGAAAGGAAUAACAGGGUCCAAAAUCUCAGUUGUUCAUGCUAAAUUUUUUUGUUAUGUAAGUAGAGCUUCAUCACUUUCUUCAGAAAGAAUUUUCUAGAUCUUUUCCAACUUAUUCAAGUAAACACUCUGACAAAGUCUGAUCUGCUUUGGAGGAGGCUCCUGUCUGAAGUCUUAAUCUAGGAUGUUUACAAGGUAUGAAUGAGAAACUAAACAACUCUGAUCUACAGUUGUCGCCUACAAAGCUCCAGCUUUUGAAAGGUACAUAUCUAAAAGAACCCAGUUGGAAUGCAGUUCCCAACUUAUGGUCUAAAGUAAAGAACUAAAAUAUUCUGUCAUGAUUGGUUGAUGCUGUAGUGGGUGAUGCAAGUGGCCAAGGCAGCUCUAAUUAUAUUUUGCAUGAGAACUUAUCAUUUUUCUUCUUCCUGCAUAGCUUAGCUAUUAUGUUUAUUAAGGAUAUUUACAUUUUUUUUAAAUCAUCUAGUUAUCUUAUGCUUUUUACAGUUUACAGUAUGGAGGCUCAUACUGAAAUUUGGGCCUAGGUGUUGACUUAUAUGUUCUUGAGCAGGAAAUCACGUUGGUCUUGCCUAUUAUUUGUUAUCUAUGUGCUGUUGGGGGUUUACUUCCUAACAAAUCUUAUUCUUGCGGUCGUUUAUGAUAGCUUUAAAGCUCAGGUAUUUACUUGUUGUCAAGUAUUUCUAUUGAUAUGUUAAUGAUGUUGAAACAUGGGAUCAUUAAGUUUGAUGUCUUCAGAUCUGUUAAAGAAAACAUAAUUAAGUUUCUAUCUCAUCUUGUGCUAUUAUAACUUGAUUUUAACAAUUUGUUUGACAAAGUGAUUAUAAAUUAAACAGUCAUACUCAAUGCCAUGUAUAUUCUUUUUUAAUUUUUUUAGCUUGCGAAACAAGUGGUUGAGAUGGAUUCUAUGAGAAUACGCAUCUUGGGAAAGGCAUUCAGUCUUAUAGAUAAUUAUGUAAGUUAUUUUUUCCUCUUACUUUCUUUUUGGUGCCUUUUUCUUGUGAGAAAUAAAUAGGUUUUUGAUGCUUCUAAUACAACAAAUUUCAAGUGGACACAGAAAUUGAAAUUGGUAUUCUAAUUAUGUAGGACAGAUAAUCACAGGUAUUCUGUAACUAUAGGAAUACAAACUGGUUAUUAGGAAAGAUCCAAUAUGAAUUCACCUUUUCAUUGAGAAAGUGAGGAUGGGUGACUGUGCAGAAGAAAGAGUGCAAAAUUGUGCCCUGCUUGGGUAGUGUCAACACCACAUCACUCUCACAGNUGAAGAAUUUCCUCCCAGGAACCCAGAUUAAUGGAAGACCAGAUAUGCUUCCACUUAUGCUCCAAAACUCCAAAUGAACCAGUUGCUUUAUAAUAUUUUUUUCAUUCAUUCUUUCUAGAUCUACAUCAUUUUCAAUAUUGUUUUAAGCUGCAAUAUUUAAAUUCUUCCCUUGGUUAUGAUGUUCAAGUACUUUGUAUCUGUUUAUUUUUGGCUUCAUGUCUAAUUGAGUGGUCAGAUUUGCAAUGAUGCUUAUAUGUUAACUUGCAAAGUCUUGGAGGGAUUUUGAUAGGUGUUCUAGGGGAAGAUAACAUUUUAUGUUCCUUUUGCUAAGAUAACAAUAUUGCCUAGUCGCAUGAUUAGAUUUUGAUGGACUCUUUUUUCCCCCCUCUUUUGUUGCAAAUUGGUGAUCAUUGUCUUUCAUUUUUGCUUGGAUGUAUAAUAUUCAAUAAAACAUCACUGGACAUGCAUACUGUCUUUUGCUGGAGGUCGCAUAUGCCUAUGAUGGCAUGAAAAGCUCUUGCUAAAGUUCGGCUCAAACAUGUUUUCUCAUUAGAAUUGUGUGGGAAUUGCCUUUUUCUUUUCUUCUUCUUCUUUCUUUUUCCUUUUAUGAUUUAAUGAUCAUUAGACUUAUAUAUGAUAGGGAUUAACUUUGUAUGAUCAUUUAACUUAUUUAUGAUAGGGUUAACUUUGUAUAGAUCUGGUCUGGACUGAAGCCAACUUGAUACUGCUUAAUACUUUGUGCCUUGGCAAACCUUUUAUUGAGUACAUCAUUUUGUAUCUAAUACAAGUGAUAUGUGUGUGUGUUUGUCUAUCUAUCCAUCUGUUUGUCUGUCCGUCCUGUAUGACAUAACAAUAUCUAUAUUCUAUCAUACACACAUAAUAUCUAUGUAUAUAAUGCAAAUGUAUCUGCAUGUUUAUGGUAUUUCAUUGCAUGGAAAGCCCUCAAACCCAGCUUUGCGUGGUGUGCAUGUCAGUUUAUCUUUUCAGUAUAAAUCUGAAAGACUGAGACUGACCCAUAUCCACCAAUAUCCCACCCCUAAUGCUAGUCCCAUCUUUGAUAAAUACACCUCACUCAAUUCCAUUUCUACUUUAAGGGAGAGAAACAAGUGGGAAACACCUUCCCAAGGUUGUCUAUUAAGGUUAUGUAAAUGAUAAAAAAAAAAGCUUUAGUGAGAUGGGGAAAUUCCAAGCAUUCAUACUUGCAUCACAUGCCUGAAACUACAUACAUGCAUAUAUAUGUACAUGCACAUAUAUAUACAUGUAGACAAGGUUUGCCAUAUCGUGCCGAACCGGCCGGUACACCCCAUCUCGUACUGGACCGACGGAGAACCGGCAUGAUUCGACCAGUAAAAUCGGUACACCGGCGGUACCGAAGAAUAAAGAAUAGAAAGUAAGAAAGAGAGAGAGAGGGGAGGGAAGGGAGGGAGGUGGGAGCCGCCGGAGGCCGGCGGUGGCCGACUGCGGUCGUCGGAGGGUUUCCGAGCCCCGUAUCGUCCGAUAGGACUUUCAAGAGAGCAAAAAAGAGAGAGAGCGCUCGGAGGGGGGGCGGGGAACCUACCGGACAAAUGGUGCCUCCGUUGCGAGGCUCCCGGUGGCCGGUGAGCCGACGCUGACGGCCUGAGGGCGGUCGAGCGGGCGGAGCCCCUCCGCGGCUUCGCUCUCUUCUUCUUUUUCGAAACAGACGACGUCUGUUUCGAUUUUUUCUNNNNNNNNNNNNNNNNNNNNUGCCUGCGGCGCCACGCCCGUGGACGGCGCCCUCCGACGGCCACGGCGGCCAGUCGGAGGCCUUGGUGGCUCUGCCGGCUCCUUCCUCUCCCUCUUUUUUUUUCCUCUUUCUCUCUCUCUAUUUCUCUCAAUUUCUCUCUUUUUUCUUCCGGUUCGGAUCGUCGGUUCGGUACGGUAUGAAACCAUACCGAACCGUACCAUCGGCCGGCCGAAACGGCCGGCGGUACCGGUUCAGCAAACCUUGCAUGUAGAUAUAUGUAUUUCUGUAGAUAUAUCUGUUUGAUUCUGGAAUUUAACUGGGAAUAAUUGUGUCAUUAUACUAGAUAUCAUUGAUAUGCAAUAAGUUCACAUGAUAGGGUAAGUUGCUAGUACUGUAAAGUCAUGUGGUCUUUCAAAUUUUGCAUUACUGAUCUUUGUUUUUUGCACACCAGAAGCAAGGGUUUCUGAACAAGGAGCAGUGCAUCUGCCUAUUUGAGGAAUUGAACAAGUACAGGUCAGAACUUUUUAUUACAUAUAUGGUUAUGUUAAUCUUUAUUUUACUGGCUUUAUGCUCCUCUUUUUUGUGGGGGGUAGAAGACUGUAGCAGGCUUUAUGCUGUUGAGUAGUUUAAGGCAAGAUUUUAAAUCCAAUGGGAUGGGGCUGUUCCGAUUUUCUUAUGGAACGGAAUGUGCCGCCAUCCUAGCACUUGGGACAGAGGAUGUCUAAGAUGUUUCGAUCGGGACGUUGGGAUGCUAGCAGGAUGGCUCUAUCUCGAUACAUGGGAUGGUAUCCUAUCCCAGUGUCCCGCAGGAGGUCCUAAAUCCAUGGUUUAAGGCUUUAAGCAGUAUAUCAUAGAGGGUCUAGUUUAACAUAAGAUUAAUGCAAGGGACUUAUACAAGAAAGGAGCAAAUAGUUUACUGCCACAUAAUGAACUGCAUAUGUUGUUGAUCUGUGGUUCAUAUGCAGUUUAUCAUGUAGCGGCAAACUAUUUGCCUUUUCCUUGAAAUGGUCCCUUACAUUAAUCUUCUAUCCUAAACUAAAAUCACCAUCAUGCACUAUUUACACAUUAACUAGUUCAUGUGUACAAAUUCGAAUUGCACAAUGAUGGCUCUCAAAAUGAUGAAUUUUGGACAGGUAUAAUGAUGUGAUGGGCAUACCCUAAUUUUCUCAUGGUACAUGUGAUGCUAUGCAUAACUAAGACAAUGUAUUUAACAAUAACACAUGCUACAUUCAUGUACAACAUCUCCCAAAUUGUCCCCUCUUUCUUCCCUCUAAAACUUAUAUUAUUUAAUUGUUAUACAACCUCAAUUCACACAUCUCUUUCUGUUGUUUCAUCUAUAUCCCUCCACCCUUCAUUUCCCACCUUCAUAUGAAGGGUUUUUGCUUAAUGACCCCUUGCAAUUGUUAAAGCAAUGGAAGAAGUCUUCAUUGCUUUAAUAUCUAAGGAACCUUCAUAUUACAUUCUAAUUAAAAUUAAAAUUAUAUUUAAGGUUUUAAAUCCUAUGGGACGGAGGUAUCCUGGUAUUUUCAUGGAACGGGAUGUCUGCUGUCCCAUUUCAUCUUGUCUCGAUAGGCGUCCUAAUCAUAUAUCCCGAUAGAUAUUCUCCAUCUCUUUUCCUUCUUUUUUUCUUUCUUCCUUUCUUUUCUUUCCUUCUUUUCUUCCUUCCUUUCUUUCCUUUUUUUCUUUCUUUUUGUCAUCCCUUCCUUUCUUUCAUUUUUCUUUUUUCCCUUCUUUCUCUUUCCUUUCUUGCUUCUUUCCUUUUCUUUUUCUUCUCCCUGCCCUCUUUUUUGGUUUUUCUUUCUCCUCUUUUCUCUUACUUUUCUCCUUUUUCAUCUUCCUUUCUUCCUUUCCUCUUUCUUCUUCUUUCUCUUCAUGGAUGGGUUUCAGAGUCCUGACCUCAUCUUGGUCCUAUUUUUUCACAGGAAUUGGGUGGGAUGGUUGGGACGCUCCGUCCCAAAUGGACGUAAAACUUUGAUUAUAUUUAACCCUGUUCAAGGUCGAAAGUCACAAAAAAAUUCUUGAUUAAUAGAUUAUGAAUAAACCUCUUAAUGUUAGUAACUUACAUCAACAGUUACAGUAAUUUUAACCCCAACCACCUGAACUUCAAUUUCCAUUUUAACUCUUCAAUUUGAUUACUUUGAGCAUGUAGCUUGGAAGGCUUUUCCUAAUGUUUUGGGCAUUUAGAACAAAUGCACCAUUGAAAUAGAGGAAGGAAAAAUUUGAAAACUAGUAGUUUGAGAAGCGAUUGCUAGCAUAAUUUGUGAGCCAAAAAUGGAACAAGUUAAGGGCAGGUUAAAGAACAGAGGCGGGUCUUCAUAGCCACUGGCUUCACAAGGGCAGGCUCUAGAUAAGGUAGGAAGUCCAAUGAUGCACAUCAGGAGUCAGUGAAGUUUUCUCUAGUCCUGAGGUGUUGGUACAUGGGCUACAUUGGCCUCAAGCAUAUCCAUUUCUUGCAGUAAGCUUGGUAUGGUGAUCCAAUCGAACUAGCAUAAGUCAAGCUUGUAUAGGCUUUAGACCCAGCUUACUGGCAUCUAGAGAGUCCUCGGUAUGUCUUUCCUAAAAGAUCUGUUGCUUAUCAUAGGAUAAGCAAACUGAUGGAGCAGUUUAAUGACACUCAUUAAUCAAUGAUGAUGGUUGGAAAUGGAGCUAGAUGUAGGGGUGGGAAUGGAGUUUGACAACCCAAUUGCCAUAUCAGAGUUGGAGCUGCAUUUUCUAGUUUGGAUCUGGAAAAUGCAUAUUCCUUAUUUAUUAAAUCAGAUUUGGAUGUCAUAGAAGUCAGGUUCUUGAGUUCAUUGACUUGAGAGAUCAUUAUCUGGUGGACCAAAUAUUUAUUCCUUAUUUAUUAUAUGUCAUAGAAGUUGGGUCCUUAGAGCUUGCUUGGCACAAAUAUUUAAUCCAAGUUUUGAUUUUAUGAUGUACCUGAGUGCAAGGUACACCAAGACUUUACAACCCAGCAAGAUGGGGGCAUCUCAGCCAUCCCAUCCUAUUCCUGUGAGAAAAAGGGGACUAGGAUGAGGUUUGGACUCUAAAACCCAUCCAUGUGGAGAGAGAAGAAGAAAGAGUAAAGAAAGAAAAGAAGGAAAGAUGAAAGAAAAGGAAAAAGUGAAAGGCAAAAAGAAAGAAGAAAAAUGGAGGAAAGAGAGGAAGGGGGGAGAAAAAGAAAGGAAGGAAAGAAGAAAGAAAGAAAGGAAAGAGAAAGAAGAAGAAAAAGGAAAAAAGAAAAGAAAGGAAGGGAUAAGAAAAGAAAGGAAAAGGAAAGGAAAGAAAGGAAGGUGUAGAAGAAAAGGAGAGAAAAGAAGGAAAAAAGAAAAGAAGGAAGGGAAAGAGGGGGUUGGGGGAUGGAAAAUAUCUAUCGGGAUGCAUGAAUGAGACUACUGCUGCCGAGAUGGGAUGGGACAGCAAGGCAUCCCGUUCCAUGGAGAAACGAGAAUACUUCUGUCCUAUGGGAUUUAAAACCUUGGGGUGCACAUGGUUCAGGUUGGUUUUGGUUGGAGGUUGACUCAGGUUUGAAACCUAACAGUUUUUAGUUUUUGGAACUACAACCCGACCAUAAUGUUGGAACAAAAUUAAGCCUAACAGCCAAGGUCAAAUCGAUUGAGCUCAGUUUUCUCAUGUCCUAUAGAAAUUAAAUUAAUCAGCAACAUGAUAUAUUAAUUCUUUUUAAGAGAGACUAUCGAGGACACAAAUUGAACAAUAUAACCAACAAGUAAUCUAUCUAAAAAACAAAAACUAACAUGAAUAAUGAAUCUCUGGUAUGGAUUUUAUUAUAAAUCUCUAAUAUAAUGUAUCCAAUAUUUACAUUAUAGAUUACUUUGUUUCUGAUUAGAUUGGGUAACUUGAAUUCUUGAGCUGGAGCUGAACCGAUCCAUUUGGGUUUUUCAAAACAAUAACUGAUAUAUGCUUAAACUGAACCCGAACUCACUGUGGCCGUGGACCGUGGUUUGGUCUUGUUUGGUUUGACCUGGAACAAUGUGCAUGCCCUACUUGAAUGUCUUCGUUUUUAAAUUUGGUUGGUCCUUUGCUAGUAUACAUGUUUUCAUUGCAAAUAGAAGUGAAGGUGACAUGUUAUUUGUUUGACUCUUAAGUGGAUGAUUCAUUAGAAAAUGAUUUGUACUACACAACCAACUUUUACUUGUUAAUAUGCAAUUUCUGUUGGAUGGCGAUUUUUUAAUUACAAAUAGUGUGGAAAUUGACAUUUUUUAAUGUGAUUAUUGUUGGAAAAUGGGAAUAGUCCUACGUUGGGUAGGUUAGGGUUUCCGGUUGGUCUUGAAUACUUGUGGGCCUGUCCACUGCAUAUCUUAAGCUUCUGGAUUGGAUAUGACAUGGUAUCAGAGCCAGCUUGCUUGCUGGCUGAUCCCUCCAUGCUCCCUUACCAACCCAUGUGUUGCCCAUCCUUCAGGCUCAAGUCUGUCUGUUUAGGCUCAACACGUAGGAGAUGGUGUUGGUGAAUGGAAGUAGUCCUACAUUGAAUAGGUUAGGAUCAUUAGGUACUGUAUUUAGUCCCAAAUACUCCUGGGCUCCACCACCUACUAUCUUAAGCUUUGGGGUUGAACUUUAACAAUUGUAAACUGAACAAACUCAAUAUGCAUAAUCAUCGGGCACUGCAGAACCUACUUGUGUUCAUUAUGCUAACUGUUCAUGAUUUGCAAUUGUUGAAUCAAAAUACAUCGGCACUGAUGCUAUGUAGCUUUUUUUUUGAAAAAAAAAAAUUCUUCAGGUCCCUACCAAAAACUUCUAGGGAAGAUUUUGAAUUAAUAUUCAGUGAACUUGAUGAUAGUGGUGAUUUCAAGGUAAAAUCUCUCUCUCUCUCUCUCUCUGUGUGUGUGUGUGUGUGUGUGUGUGUGUGUGUGUCUGUCUUUCUUUGCUUCUGUCUAUACUCACAUAUGUAUUCCUUUUUUUUGUAUGUGCAUUAUCUUAGCUUUUGUUAUCCUCUCAUCUACAUCAUGGUCAUUGAUUUUUUUUUCUUUUCAUUAUUAAGAAUCUUUCUGGCUUGGUAAACCUACUCUUUAAGAAUUGCUGUAAUUUGAAACUCUUCUCUUAUUAAUUGAAGUAUUUGGUUUCAAAUAUUGACUUAUGAAUCCAGCACAUUUGAGUUGCACUUAUGCUCUGUAUUUAGAAUCUUAUAAUGGUUUCAUUUUUUUUUCAUUUUAUUAUAUGUAAUCUGCAUGACAGCUUGAACUAGCACUAAUGGUCUCCUUAAAUAGGAAUGCUUGGAAAUGAAGAAUCCCCAAAUAGUUUGGCAAGGUUUGAUUGGUUAUGGUUUUGGUGAAUCUGUGUGAAACUAGUAUAUGACCAGAGGCUAUUGUCCUGAGGCUAAUGCCUCUCCAUUUAGAUUCUGUAAAUUCUUCAUGCCACAUGUCUCUAUCAAGGGAUAUAUUCUAAGGUAUAAUAAGUCUAUUGUCUAUAUGUCCUCAAAAUUUCAUGAAAGCUUUGUGAUGUUUUGCCUCCAUUAGUAUUGCCCUUCCACAUGUAUCUGAGCUCUGAAUAUUGUUAUAGCAGGUGUUAUUGCAAAUUAGUUUACCACCUAUUUAAGUCUUGUAUUAUUGAACUGUCAUUACUAAGAUUUAUUCUGUUUACCUUGAUAUUCUUUGCACAAACUUGUGCUAUUUACAUAGAUCUGAGCUGUUUGAGAUUACCUUUCCGCUUAAUGGCAUAUUUUAUUUUUGGGGAAUUUGGUUCUGGCAAUUAAUGUACUUUUAAACAUGUUUUUUUUUUUUAAAAAAUGUUUUUAGAGGUGUAAAGUUUAACUGUGAUGUCCUAAAUGUUGUUGAAAUGGUCAUUUAUUUAAAACCUCUAACAACUAGUGCUCAAUCUUUUCUCAAACAACUUCCAAAGAACGUGUUUAGAUAUGCCAAUUCCUAAUAUGCACCUACACUAGUGGAAUUGGUGUGUUAUAUCCAAUCUUGCAUGUGACAGCAAGUCCCAUGAUGCAGCUCAAUUCACAUCUUUGAAGAAACAUAUCUUUGGUGCUGCAGCUGUCCCCAUGUAUGCCAUAUUAUAGGUCUUAAGCAUGUAUUUAUUGGUUCCUGCAAAAAAAAAGAAGCUAUAUUGAUGAUUUUAUGAUGAUAUAUUUGGAUUUCUAUGAUGGAAAUUUAUUUUGAUUUUUAUUCCUCUCACAUGCUUUCGACUUCCUGUUUUUGCCCAGAUUAAUUUGGAAGAAUUUACUGAUCUCUGCAAUGCUAUUGCCCUAAGGUUUCAAAAGGAGCCUUCUGUAAGUCAAUGCUCAAUGCUGUUAAAAACAUGCAAAUAUACCCUUAAAGAGUAGGACUGAAAAAAUCAGAUUCCAUUCACUCUUUCUAUUUAUUUACCUGUAAGUAGCAUGCUCUCAAUUACUAGAUAUCAAUCUAAUCUCUAAUGCUUGGUGUAUGUUGGACAUUGCAGCCUUCAUGGUUUGAAAACUGCCCAUCUUUUUACCAUUCACCUCUGUGCAAGAAUUUGAAAGCUUUCGUUCGCAGCCCCAUGUUUGGAUAUGUUAUAGUUUUUAUACUUGUUCUCAAUCUAGUUGCUGUUGUUAUUGAAACAACGGUAAGCUUAUUACAACGAUGAGCUCUUUGUGUAAAUUUGUCACAAUAAUUUUUCUUAUUACAUUGUGCUACCUUUCUUAGCUACCCUCCUAUUCUAUUAAUCAUGAUCUACAAUACUUAGAAUUCGAAAAAGAUAAAAACUCAAAUAUUUUGGAGGUUUCUCUCUGACUAUGUCAGAUGAUCACAAGAGCAGAAAGAAUUUAAUGACAAAUUCAGUUUUUUUGGGUUAUAGUUCAUGAAUGCCUGGUUGAAUUCUAGUGAAAUGCAUGUCAUGAUCAAUGAUGUUGGCUCUUGAUUUAUAUUAUUUGAUAUGCAUUAUGCACUAUUUAUAUUGAUAAUGCCCAUGUCUACUCCACUCAAUGCAUGGAAGCAAAUGUUGAUCAUGACGAAUAGUGUGGGUUCUCUUUUUACAUCGAUUAUGCAUUUAUGUUGUGAUCAAGGUUCUCGAUCUUGCCAUUGGUAUUGUACCUGUCUAGUGCCAGUUUGGUACGAUACUGUAACAAUUAGGGUUCUUAGCACCGUCUCGAACCAAUCGGUUUGGGGCGUGCCGAAUCGGACCGGCGGGAAAUCGGGAUGGUUCCGACGAAGAAAAUGGCACACACGGGUGCUGGGGAAAAACGAGACAGAAACAGAGGCAGAGAGAGAGGAAGAGAGGGAGAGAGAGGAGGACGCCGUCGGAAGCCGGCAGUGGCCCUCUGCAGCCGUCGGAGGGUGGCAGAAGCCGCCAUGGCUCGGUUCGCCCGAUGGAGCUGCUGCAACGAGCGAGAAAGAGAGAGAGAGGGGAGAGACCAUCGGAGAUGGGAGGACGGGACGGCGAAGAGGCCGCUGGAGGACUCUGGGUGGCCGCCGUGGCCAUCUAGUGGUGGAAGCGGUACGGGUGGCAUCACGGUCGCGGAACAAGGAUUGUCGCCCCUGUUCACACAUGGCUCUUUUUUAAAAAAUGGGGAUUAAUAGUGAAGCCGGCAAAAUAUUUGCCGGCUUCAUUGUUUAAAAUAUUUUUUAAAAAAAUUAAAAUUAGUAAAGCCGUCAAUCGGAUUGCUGGCUUUAUUUUUUAAUUUUUUUUAAAAAAAAUCUAUUAAACAGUGAAGCUGGCAAACAAUUUGCCGUUUUCGUUUGUUUUUGUUUUUUUAAAAAAAUUGUGAAACAGGGGCGUCGCUCCUGUUUUAUGCCUGUGGCACUGCGCACGUGGACUGUGUCAUCCGGCGGCUAGCCAGAGGUCAUCCGACGGGCCCUCCGAUUCCUUCCCCUCCUUUUCUUUCUUCCUCCCUCUCUCUCUAUCUCUCUCUCUCUCUCUUUUCCUCUUCCCGAUUUCCUUCCUUAUUUCGGUUCACGUCGGUCCGAUCCGAUAUGGAACCAUACCAGACCGUGCCGCCAGCUGGCCGGAACGGUCAUCGGUACCGGUACCAAAAACCUUAGUAACGAUAUUCGAUAUGCUGAACGUAUCGGUAUGAUAUUUGUUUGCCUUUUCUUUUUAAUUUUCAUUUUUUUUGGUGAUGAUUAUUUUAAGAUCUAGGGAUCUUCAAAAUAUGAUGUUAAAGUUGUUUUAUUGUUAUUUUAUUUCAUAUUCGCCCUAAAACUAUAUGAUUGCUUGAGGGAUGCAUUUGUAAUGAAUAAAAAUAAAUAUAUAGUUUGUAGCUUGAAAAUACACGUAUAUUUGAAACCCAAAAAUAUACUGAUAUCUAGUCCCUGGCAGAGAGUCUAUGCCACUUGUAGAUCUUGGGAUCUCUUUCAUCGUUGAUGCCUUGGACUUGACUCCAAGCUAGAAACUAUGGCCAUCCUUGCAGACAAUAAUUUGGUUUUCUUGGAUAGCACUCUGAUACCGAUCCUCUUUUUGAUAUUGGGCUGGCCAUCUCACCUGUGGGAAGAUUGUAGUAGCAAAAUUUGAUUGGUGAUCUGGAUAAGGCUGUGGAGUGUAGUAGCCACAUAUUCAAUGCUUCAGAUGAAGAGUAUAUAUGGGUAUUAUGCUGGUUGUGCAAAAUAAGAUUCAAUGUGAUGAUGAUCCAUUGAUGUCUGGAGACCUGCUUCACAUGCUAUAUCAUUAGCUGCAACAAUAUGUACCCGUGCCAUGGUCCAUCUCAUUGAGCCCAUCUCCUAUAUGCUAUUAUAACCUCAAGCUUUACAUCGUGCUUCAUGUUCCAUAUCGUAUGUGGCAUGAGUGAAACAACUCACUGAUGAACGGACUUGGACCAUGUGGUUGCGAGUUGUAUGUACCCUUCCAUGUCGACUACUACCUUUCUGGCCACUAAGAAUGCAUUAUUGCCUGGAUUGUCAUAAGCAUUGUUACUUGUAACUCGAGGUGAUCUGGACAACAUGUCAUCUAAUGGCUCAGUGGUCUUAAAAUUUUGUACGAAGGGCUUCUCAUGAAACCUCUCAAAUGGAUCUUCAGCAUUCUCUCUUUCUUGCUACUAUGACGAACUGCUUUGCUUCUUGGUUGGCCCUGCCUAAUUGGUUUUGUUGGAUGGCUUGACCAGGCCCAUCAUCCUGAGGCCGUUCCUCCAUGGCUGGAUUGUGUGCCAGUGUCCUCUCCUCAGCAUUUCAAGUCGUUAUCUUAGGGUGUUUUCUGAUGUAGAGCCUUGCAAUCCCAACCGGUUCCCCUUGACCUUUGUGUAGCUCCUAUUGCUGGGCAUUGACUGGUUGUGAGUGUGCACGUGUUGCUUCACCUACUGCCCUGCAUUCACCUAUCUCUGUUGUUAUGAUAUUUGCUAGUCGAUGAGGUGAUUCUAGCUUAUCAAGCUCUAGCCUCUACUAGCUCUCAAGUCAAUCAAUCAUGAGAUCCUCACCAUCAUAUAUCAAGUGAUUAUGAAGUGGAUCUUCAUAUUUCAGCUUCAUCUCCUCACAGAUGCACUUCAAUCUGAGCCAUAAAAUGUAGUGCAUAUAUGCUGUCUUUCAUUCUUCUGUAUCAUAUGAUUUGUUCAGUUGCUGUGUAUUUUGUAGAAGGUUGAACAGUUGCACUCGUAGCCACCAGAGGAGACCAUCUGUGAGAGGAUCCGGAUUAGCAAGCUCCAAAGAUUUUUGGAUAACAACCCAAUAUGGAACCACUAUUCAACCACAAAUACAAUCAAGUAAAUUGCAUGUUAGACACUAUUUAUCGUAAAACAGUAAAUCAGUUAAAGUCAGUGUUAAAAAAUACCUGGAUUUAUAGUCUUUCUUGCCAUGACUACCUUGUCAUCAAAGCUAUGGGAGUCCUCCCUAAAAGCAUAAGUCUAUGAAUCAUGAAGCGCAUACCACUUAUGAUAUCAUAUAUUUUGUUUGAAUUAACAAAGUAUUAUUCCCGAUUUCCUGUUAAAUUUAACUUACCUCUUUGAGGCAUCUGGCAAUAUUGCGGCUCAAGCUCCAUCUUGAUGAUGUUGCACAAGGCAGUCCAUGGUUCCUUAUCCUAGUCUGUUCUUGGGACUUCAUAUUGGAACCUUACAUUGAGGUAGUAGGUUGUCAGGAUAUGUAAUUGAUUAAUUAUCAAAGGUUGCAUGAUAGUAUUUUAUAAGAAUAGACAGGGAUUGAGGAUUUUACUUGGAUUACCUACUAGAUGCAACUCCUUGCCUAUUUGGAAAUCCCACCACUCCUUAAUGAUGUUAAUAUGCUCAUUAGUAUGCUUCAGAUCCACUUGCUUGAUCUCGGUCUUAGUAGUCAUCAUCAUAGCCAUCUGAGGAUACUUCUCGCUGUCCACAAACUUUAACACUUGAUAUAGAGGUGCGGUUUCCUGAAUAGUGGCUUGUCACUAACUCUUCCGUAUGUCUCCUUUCUGUGCCACUAACCCUUGAGUCUUGGUUAGGGUGUCUUUCUUAGAUGUUGGUUGAUCAUAAUAUGUAGGUCUAAGAACCAAUCAUGUAAGGAAAAAAAUCAACGCCAGUUUAUUGUUUUCCAUUUUAGCACUACAAGGAGAUGUACAUUCAACUAAAUUUGAUGAUAUUUUGAUUUAGAUAAUGCAUACUGAAUAAUUUAUAAAUUACAGGCAAAAUAUUGCACUCAAGUAAGGAAUAAGUAGAUGAACUAGUACAUUGUACAAUGAGGAAACAGUUUGUGUUUAGGCAGGAAAUUCAAAAUCUGAUGUAAUUGUUGCGAAAUGAAAUGACUUGCAACUUGAACUGCUUUGGAGUCGAGCCAGGGCCAUAUGUCUUUUUUUUUUUUAAAUGUAGCUUUCUUCCUAUUGAUGUCUGAGAUUUGAUAAUUCUGAAUUUAUAUUUUAUGAGAGUUUACAUGCCAAAGAUAUGGUGUAUAUGUGUACUAUAUGCAUAGAUACUUUGUUGAGCUUCUAUUGUUGAUUCUUCAUUUAUUCCAUUUCAAUGGCUAGUUAUCACAUGCUUGUCUCUCCGUCAUCUGGAGUUUAAAAUAGAAUUUAAGAUCUAGCUUCAGUGACAACAUAUUUUGCCAUGGUUGGUGAUGUUUUUUAUCCUAUAAUAUUAAAUUGAUUAAAUUUGCUUUUUGCAGCUUGAUAUAGAGAACAGUUCUGCGCAGAAAAUUUGGCAACAAGUGGAGUUUUUCUUUGGUAGGGAUUUGAAUAUUUGAUAGACUUAUUAAUUGUCAUUUCAUUACAUGAAACCCCCCAAAAAAGUUCUUAGUUGGGCAAUUUAAGCUAUCAUUAUAGUUUCCUAAUCUUCUUUCAAAUGGGAAGUAUGAUCAGUACUAUGUAGAAAAUUUUGAGCCAUUGUGGACAAUAAUGUGAAAAAAUAAUGAAUAAAAAUGCUUCAAACUAAAAGCAUGAAUUUUCAGGUAUUACCUUGGAAUGACCCAAUUCACUUAAAAAGUAGCAAAUCAUGAUUCAUGGAUUACAAAUCUUAAGGAUACUCCUUAUGAUUCACUACUAUUGUUUUAUCGUGAUUCUAUAGAGAACAAUGGUCAGAAUUUUUGUGCCAAAAUUUUAGAGUAUUUAUUCUUUUUGAAUUGACCAAAGAUUCUUUUUCUGAAAUUUUUAAAAAAAAAGAAAUUUUAGAAGUUGCUUUUCAAUUUUGUAGUUAUAUAAUAUCACAUAGUUGGCAUGCAAUAUUUUGAUCAUGCCUCAUCAUAUGUUGGACGCUAAUUAAAUCUCGACGGUCUUGUAGGGUGGAUUUAUGUAUUAGAGAUGGCUUUGAAAAUAUUUUCAUUAGGAUUUGAUGCUUACUGGUUGGAAGGCCAAAACCGGUUUGAUUUUGUGAUCACAUGGAUAAUAGGUAAGCUCAAACUGACUUUGCAAGUCAAAUAUUACUAUUUUUAUUUUUUUUAAGGUAGCAAGAAUUGUUUUUGUUGUGCAUUUUAUUAUAAACUUCCUCCUAUGCAUCAAAUCAAGUUACAUAUUUUGUUUAUUAUAUUAGGUUUUAAAUCCCGUGGGAUGGGGUUGUCCCAAUUUGCCUAUGGAAUGGGAUGUGCCACUGUCCCAACACUUUCGAUAGGGAAUGCCUCAAGACAUGUCGAUCAGGAUCCUAGCACAACGGUGGGACAUUCCUGUCCCAACUCCCAACACUCGAGACAAUACCCCAUUCUGGUGUCCCCUAGGACAUCCCAUUAGAAGUUGAGAUCAUGAUCAUAACCACCAAUCUUGCCCCAACUAGUUGCGGUCACUUUUGUGCAUUCUUAUUUGCUGAAUAUUUGGACCACCUCUAAUGGCAAUUCGAGCAUUUUGGACAUCCUGUCAUAUCCUCCAUCCAUGUAACCUUAGGCCUUCUCCUUUGUUGCAUCCUUAAAUUAAAGGACAUGUUCUUGCUGGAUCCCUUCAGAUCUUUGUUGUACAUCCCCACAUUAUCUUAAUCUAUUCUCCAUCUCUUUGUCCUUAGUUUGUGCAACUCCUAGUAUCUCUAAUAUGUAUUCAUUUCUCACAUUAUCCUUUCAUCUUUUACCACACAUCUCAAUACUCUUAUUUCUGUGACACUUGUUUUCUUGGAUCUUUUUUUAAUGAUUCAACAUUCCAAGCCAUACAACAUUUUAGGCCCUAUUGCUAUUCUUCAAAAUUUUUCUUUAAAUCGCAUAUAUGCAUCAAUCACAUUUCCUAGAGGCACCUUUAUGCUGCAUCCAGCUAGCUCUAAUUCUAUAACAUAUGUUUUCAUCUAUAUCUCCAUUAUUUUGUAUAAUAGAUCCUAAAUAAUAAAAGUCAUUACUUUGUGGUAUAUUUUGUCCAUCAAUUGGACUCAUGGUCUCAUCUUCAUUUCCAUUUUCACUAAAAUUGCAAUCCAUGUACUUUGUCUUUGUAUUGCUAAUUUUUUAAGUCCUCAUCCUCUAAGGCUUUCUUCCAUAAAUCAAAUUUAGCAUUUAACCUUGUUCUUUCCUCAUCAACAACACCAUAUAAUCUUCAAAGAAUAUACACCGUUGUAGAUCUUGUGCUUUAGCAGUAAGGUUAUCUAUGGUUAGACACAAAGAUAUGGUCCAGGUGUUGAUCUUUGGUGCAGGCCUAUUGUGAUUGGGAAUGCAUUUGUCGUACCAUCAUAACUCUUAAAACUUGUCAAUGAUUAGAUUCUAAAUUACUCUUCUAAUUAAAAUCUUCACUGAUCAUUGCAUGUACUUGUGUACCAUCAUAAUCCUAUCAAUUUGUCAUUCAUUAGUAAUAUCCUCUCCUCUCUUGUUUUUUCAGGGUAGGGAGGAUCUCUCAGUUGCCUAUGGAUGAUUCCUUUUGAGUUUUGAAAUUUGUUGUGUGAAUUUUCUCAGGCAACUAAUGUAUGCAAAUCCUAUCGUGUGCUUUGAACACUCAAAACUUCUGCAUUUACAUCAUGCAAUAGCAUCUCAAUGCAGGAGAAUGAGGGAUUGAUUGUUCUCCUUUAACUUCCUUAGUGACUGUAUAAAUAACUUUGAGUGUAUUUUUGUGUAGGUUUUUGAAUCUAAUUAUUGUAGCAAUGUGCUUAACUAAGCUAGUGCAUUCCUUUAGAGAAAUGUUAUGCAUUGUAAUCUCUGUUCAGCACAUGUUUCUGGAGGUAUGCAUAAUGUUUGUUGUACUUGUUGCAGCUUUAACCUUUUCAUUCAUUGUAUUUUUAUCAAAUAUGAUGCUCAAAUAUUUAUAUACAGUUCUGGUACUUGAUUGAUGAACUACUUCAAUGGAUGUAAUUUGUGUUGCAGUUAUUGGAGAGAGUCUGACUUUUUUCUUCCCAUCUGAGCUUCCUUUUCUUUCAAAUGGAGAGUGGUAAUGUUUUUCUCACUCCAUGGUAACUCAAGUAUAAUCUUUGUUAUAUAAAUGAAUGAGGUGCAUUAGAUUAAUAGACAUGGUAUCCUUGACUCCAUGUACAAUUAGUUGACCAAAUAAAAUUAGAUUACUCAUCGUUUCAUCCCAUGCUUAUUCAGUAAGUGAUGGUUAUCCAGUCAUUCUGCAGCUCUUAGAUUUGUCGUGCAAUAACAAGAGCCAACAACAAUACAUCACCAAAGUAAGCUAGUAAUGGAAGAGACUGAGGUCUUCUGAACAAAAUUGUUAAACUUUAAAGGUAGAACAGUUCAUUUAUUUUAUAAUAAAAAGUGUUUUUUUGUUGGGGAGGGGAGGAGUGGGGGUGGGGAUUGAGAAGGUCAUAAGUGAAGGACUUGCUCAGUAAUAUCUUCUGUAUUCACAAGUUACUGGUGCUAUUUAGAGUAGGCAAACGGCAAACACGUGACAAUUGGUGAGUUGAUAACUUUUGGAAAUUGGAACUACUUGACAAGGGCAUAAUGAUUGCAUUCUCUACAUCCUAGAUCCAUCACUUUCAUGGAUUUGGGAUUGAUGAUAGAAAAGUAGACUCAUUACAGCCAUGAUGAUAAAAGAGUUUGUUAAUUAAAAAAAAAAAAGAUCUCAGUAGAAUAGUGGAUAGUAAAUAAGAAUUUUAUGAACUGAGAGAUCUGGAGGAAGCAAGUUGAAACUGGAGGAGCAAGUGUUAGAAUGAAUGUAAAAUCUCAUUAGGCAAUUCAUAUGAUAUAUGCAGGAUGCCACAUAAUUUUUACAUUGAAAUACAUACAAACAUGAGGGUUUUCUGUCUUUGCCCUUCCAAAAGGUGGACAUGGAGAAUAAGCGCUUGAAGGAGACACAUUUCUGAAGAAUUGUGAUGGUGCAUACCCUCCUAUUCUGCUUUUUUUUUUUCAUUUCCAUGUUCUUCCUUUUCAUAUCUGUUUCUCUCUUCUUCUAGUUGGGCUCAAAAGUCAUCCUCAUGCUCCUCUUAGAAAUGUAACAGUCAUUUCAAAAAUUUGUAAGAUUCUGACUAGACAAGGGAACCAAACUUCAUGGUUUGCUGCAAUAUAUUGGUAGUUUCGUCAUCACAGGUAUCAAUGUUUUUAUGCACAUUUGAUGAUUAGAUGUUCUGCAUCAAGAGGUGUAUUGGGAUAAUGGAUCAAACCUUGUUCAUCCGUUUUCCUUUAAGGAAAAUAUUGGGCUUUGCUAUAUCCUUUUUAAAAUCGUAUAGAGAUCUAUUCCUGCUAUUCUUGUACUGGAAAGGGAGAUAUCUUGCUUCUUUCCAAUCAGGUACCAUUGUUUUGUUGCUAGUGUGAGAACAAUUUACUUUUCUUUUGAUAUAUAAAUGAUAAGGAGUGGACAAAAUAAUUCCUUCUCUAUGCAUAAUAAUCUGGCCAGCAUAUGUAAAUGAAGGGAAUUAUCUCCAAUGGCCACAAUUUGUCAAGCUUUUUCACACUACUAAAGGAAGCAUGGAAUUUGAAGGAAGAUCCAAAUUUCAUACAUAUAAUGGAAAGAAGAAGCCUCUCAUGCAGUGUUCGUUGAACCUUACCAGUGGCUAACCGGUGUGGUUCGGGUGUUCAGUUCAGAAUGCCGGCAAAAAUAGAGUGAGGGAGAAGGAAAGAGAAGAGAAGGGAGAGAGAAAGAGGAGGGGAGGGAAGGAAAGAAAAAAGCCGAUGGUGGCCCGUUGAGGCUGUCGGAGGGCCGCCAAGGCCUCCAGGGCUCCCGAUCCUUUGCAAGAUGCCGACUUCCACUCCCUCCUCUCCUCUCCCUUCCCCUCUUUCUCUCUACUCUCAUUUUCUCUCGCAGAGGACCGUGGAGCUGUGAAGGCCUCGACGGCCCUCUAUGGCCACCGCCGGCGUCUCCAUCGGCCUCUCUUUUCUUCUCUCCCUCUUCCUCCCUCCCCUCUCUCUUUCUCUUUCUUUUCCUUCCUAGUUCAUUCAUCGUUUCCGUGUCGGUUCAGACUCGAUACGAGGGCAUACCACAUCGUACCAUCGGCCGACCAGCACAAGGUCUGGUUCCGAGUCGGUGAUCCUUGCUAUCAUAUUCGAAGUAUCUUUUUCAAUAAUAUGAUAUUCUUUUGCGUUGUCUUAGAAAUUUUCAUUAACUCAAUAAGGCAGAAAGAGGCUUUAUGAACUGUAGAUAAAAAAGCUAUUUGGUACUCGUGAUAUGCAUGACAAAGUGUCAUACCAGUGCCUUAGUUGCAUGUUGGCCGUGAUACUAUACCAAUUGUGUGCCAGUGCUUGGAAUGUAGCCAUGCCAAUGCAUGCCAGGCACUAGCAUCGCAUGGUACAACACUUAUGGGCCAUGCUAAUGCUAAGCUGGCAGGCCAUAACAUGGUAUGUAUUGUGCCAAUGGCAAGGUGGCACAUCAUUGUCAUGGAAUACAUCAGCUGAUAUUGUAUAUACUGUUGCAAUUGAAUAAGGAUAUUUGGAAGUUGAAUGCCUCUCAGCAACGAACUUGAUUGGCACAAGCAGCAACAAAAAAAAGAAACCAAUUAAAUUAAAUUCUGGCCGGGAUUAGUUUCAAUUUUCAAGUCCGUUUCUUUUUUUCUUUUUUAUCCUCUAUCAACUCCAGGGACUUUUUGGGAAGCUUUCUCAAAUCUUGAUUGUUAAAGGACUAUGAUGAAGAGAUGGAAGCACUUCAUGAAAAGUCAAAUUUGAGAAUUGGUACUGCUAUGUGGGGAAGUAUGUAUUCUUGAGUGUUGCUAGUUAUAUACUAUCAAGUAUGAACCGAACAUCUCUAUUCGAAAGUAUGAACCUUGGUUUAUGUCUAAGGGCUAUACCUAGAUGUACGGAGUGGAGUGCUUUGACUCUUCUCACCUUCAGCAGUGAUAAUGGUGAAUUCAGUUGAAUUAAACUUGACUAGCCUUUAUUUCAUCUUGAUGUGAAAAGUGUCUUGUAUUGAAGAUCUGCAUAAAGAGGUUUGAGUGGAUCUGCCUUUUAGCCUUCAGUCCUGCAGAAAUUGUUUAUCUAUUGAAGGAUUCCAUUUAUGGAUCAGAGCAGAUUCCAUGUGCUUCGUCAAACUCUAUUUGACUUUGGUUUCAAGAAGUCAAGUUAAUCAUGUGCCACUUAUUAAGAGCACCUGUUGAUCUGGAAUGAUCAAACAGAGAUAGGUGAUCCGGAAAAGGACUUAAAUGCUGCUGGCACGGUGCAUGCCACCUAGUGGCUGAGAUGGCAUGUGCCAUGCUGGAAUAUAGAAAAGGGACUCAAGAGCCCUUUGGCUUGGUUCCAAGUUGUAUUCAACAUGAGCUAGUACAGGUUGGUACUGCUCUAGCUACUUUCUUGGUACUUGGUACUGAUACAAUGAUGCAUGCUGGCACUAGCCCAGCAAGGGCCAGCACUUGGACCAUGGUUCUGAAAUAGUUCUAACUAGAAGAGAGUUGAUUUGAAAAGAUUUCAGACAGCUUCACGACUUUCAGGGGAUUGAAGCUCCCCAUUCUAGAAAAUGCGGUUCUAUAUAAGUCAUGAUGUAUACUCUUGAGCGCUGACCUCCUUGGAUACAUGGCUCCUAUAUUGUUAAGCAGUAGAGACACCUGUACGGCUGUACAGGUGAGCUUAAAGCUGUAUGCUGAUCAGGGAGAGCAUAUAACUUAUCCAGAGGUAGUGAAUGUAAUAGUUGCAUUCAAUGCUUGUAAGUAUUGUUAAUUGCAUGUGGCCUUUUUAUAGAAAGAUGUCAAAAAUGCAUUUCUUCACAACGAUGAUGGUGAGUAUUCUGUUUGUAACAUCCUAGCUUUCUCUGUCAUCUCCAUAUUGGGCAUCAGUGACAUGACAUCCAAUGUGGCUUUAACAAACCCAAUGAGUCAGUAAGCUAAUUUUAUAGGGGAGAUGGGAUCAAAGGGUUUUAUAUGUAAAUUUACUCUAUUUAUUAUACAAUUGCAAUUUAUUGAUGAUUUUCGUCUUUUUUAUUUUGUGGCAACAGGAUUCGUUAUCUUUUAAUUGCAAGG